AUUGAACGCUGGCGGCAGGCCUAACACAUGCAAGUCGAGCGGAGCGGCGGACGGGUGAGUAAUGCCUAGGCAUCUGCCUGGUAGUGGGUGAGAACGUCCUGAAACGGGCGCUAAUACCGCAUACUAUCAGAUGAGCCUAGGUCGGAUUAGCUAGUUGGUGGGGUAAAGGACUACCAAGGCGACGAUCCGUAACUGGUCUGAGAGGAUGAUCAGUCACACUGGGACUGAGACAGAGUCCAGGCUCCUACGGGAGGCAGCAGUGGGGCAUAUUGGACAAUGGGCGAAAGCCUGAUCCAGCCAUGCCGCGUGUGUGAAGAAGGUCUUCGGAUUGUAAAGCACUUUAAGUUGGGAGGCGUUACCAACAGAAUAAACACCGGCUGACUUCGUGCCAGCAGCAGCGGUAAUUC
rnacentral:rRNA from 1 species